AUUGAACGCUGGCGGCAGGCCUAACACAUGCAAGUCGAGCGGAUGAAGGGAGCUUGCUCCUGGAUUCAGCGGCGGACGGGUGAGUAAUGCCUAGGAAUCUGCCUGAUAGUGGGGGAUAACGUCCGGAAACGGGCGCUAAUACCGCAUACGUCCUGAGGGAGAAAGUGGGGGAUCUUCGGACCUCACGCUAUCAGAUGAGCCUAGGUCGGAUUAGCUAGUUGGUGGGGUAAAGGCCUACCAAGGCGACGAUCCGUAACUGGUCUGAGAGGAUGAUCAGUCACACUGGAACUGAGACACGGUCCAGACUCCUACGGGAGGCAGCAGUGGGGAAUAUUGGACAAUGGGCGAAAGCCUGAUCCAGCCAUGCCGCGUGUGUGAAGAAGGUCUUCGGAUUGUAAAGCACUUUAAGUUGGGAGGAAGGGCAGUAAGUUAAUACCUUGCUGUUUUGACGUUACCAACAGAAUAAGCACCGGCUAACUUCGUG
rnacentral:rRNA from 1 species